rnacentral:rRNA from 1 species
GGUAACUGCGGGCGAGAGGCCGCGGGAAUACGGAGGGGGCUAAGGUGUUCCUGAAUCAUUGGGCGUAAAGCGCGGUUGGGCGGCCCGGUAAGGCCGCUGGGAAAGGCGGGGGCUCAACCCUCGGAUGCCGGUGGAUACUGUCGGGCUUGAGUACGGAAGAGGCGAGUGGAAUGCCUGGUGUAGCGGUGAAAUGCGCAGAUAUCAGGAGGAACACCGAUUGCGAAGGCAGCUCGCUGGGACGUUACUGACGCUGAGACGCGAAAGCGUGGGGAGCAAACAGGAUUAGAUACCCUUGUAGUC